rnacentral:rRNA from 1 species
CAGCAAAAAAAGGAGCAACCCGCAAAGAGAGGGGCCCGCGGCGCAACAGCGAGGGGGAGAGGUAACGGCUCACCAAGGCGACGAUGCGUAGCCGACCUGAGAGGGUGAUCGGCCACAUUGGGACUGAGACACGGCCCAGACUCCUACGGGAGGCAGCAGUGGGGAAUAUUGCACAAUGGGGGAAACCCUGAUGCAGCAACGCCGCGUGAGUGAUGACGGCCUUCGGGUUGUAAAGCUCUGUCUUCAGGGACGAUAAUGACGGUACCUGAGGAGGAAGCCACGGCUAACUACGUGCCAGCAGCCGCGGUAAUACGUAGGUGGCGAGCGUUGUCCGGAUUUACUGGGCGUAAAGGGAGCGUAGGCGGAUUUUUAAGUGAGAUGUGAAAUACUCGGGCUUAACCUGAGUGCUGCAUUUCAAACUGGAAGUCUAGAGUGCAGGAGAGGAGAAGGGAAUUCCUAGUGUAGCGGUGAAAUGCGUAGAGAUUAGGAAGAAUACCAGUGGCGAAGGCGCUUCUCUGGACGAUAACUGACGCUGAGGCGCGAAAGCGUGGGGAGCAAACAGGAUUAGAUACCCUGGUAGUCCACGCCAUAAACGAUGGAUACUAGGUGUGGGAGGUAUCGAACCCUUCCGUGCCGCAGUAAACGCAAUAAGUAUCCACCUGGGGAGUACGACCGCAAGGUUGAAACUCAAAGGAAUUGACGGGGGCCCGCACAAGCGGAGGAACAUGUGGUUUAAUUCGAUGAUACGCGAGGAACCUUACCCGGGCUCGAACGGUGCAUGAAUAUACGAGAGAUUGUAUAGUCCUUCGGGACAUGUAUCGAGGUGCUGCAUGGUUGUCGUCAGCUCGUGCCGUGAGGUGUCGGCUUAAGUGCCAUAACGAGCGCAACCCUUGUCAUUAGUUGCCAUCAGGUCAAGCUGGGGACUUUAAUGAGACUGCCACCGUAAGGUGUGAGGAAGGGGGGGAUGACGUCAAAUCAGCACGGCCCUUAUGUCCGGGGCGACACACGUGUUACAAUGGGAGGUACAGAGGGCAGCUAUCCGGUGACGGAAUGCUAAUCUCCAAAACCUUUCUCAGUUCGGAUUGGAGUCUGCAACUCGACUCCAUGAAGGUGGAUUCGCUAGUAAUCGCGCAUCAGCCAUGGCGCGGUGAAUACGUUCCCGGGCCUUGCACUCACCGCCCGUCA